AACUCUAGCCUAAAAGCCCAAA
rnacentral:siRNA from 1 species